UACGGGGGGGGCAAGCGUUGUUCGGAAUUACUGGGCGUAAAGGGCUCGUAGGUGGCCAACUAAGUCAGACGUGAAAUCCCUCGGCUUAACCGGGGAACUGCGUCUGAUACUGGAUGGCUUGAGGUUGGGAGAGGGAUGCGGAAUUCCAGGUGUAGCGGUGAAAUGCGUAGAUAUCAGGAGGAACACCGGUGGCGAAGGCGGCUACCUGGACAGAAACUGACGCUGAGGCGCGAAAGCUAGGGGAGCAAACAGG
rnacentral:rRNA from 1 species